rnacentral:tRNA from 1 species
CAGAAAAUGGCCGAGAGAAUAGGCGGUGAGUUGUAGCCUCAUUUACAGAAGUGCUUUCUUUUUCUGA